rnacentral:rRNA from 1 species
UAAUACCGGAUAAUAUUUUGAACCGCAUGGUUCAAAAGUGAAAGACGGUCUUGCUGUCACUUAUAGAUGGAUCCGCGCUGCAUUAGCUAGUUGGUAAGGUAACGGCUUACCAAGGCAACGAUGCAUAGCCGACCUGAGAGGGUGAUCGGCCACACUGGAACUGAGACACGGUCCAGACUCCUACGGGAGGCAGCAGUAGGGAAUCUUCCGCAAUGGGCGAAAGCCUGACGGAGCAACGCCGCGUGAGUGAUGAAGGUCUUCGGAUCGUAAAACUCUGUUAUUAGGGAAGAACAUAUGUGUAAGUAACUGUGCACAUCUUGACGGUACCUAAUCAGAAAGCCACGGCUAACUACGUGCCAGCAGCCGCGGUAAUACGUAGGUGGCAAGCGUUAUCCGGAAUUAUUGGGCGUAAAGCGCGCGUAGGCGGUUUUUUAAGUCUGAUGUGAAAGCCCACGGCUCAACCGUGGAGGGUCAUUGGAAACUGGAAAACUUGAGUGCAGAAGAGGAAAGUGGAAUUCCAUGUGUAGCGGUGAAAUGCGCAGAGAUAUGGAGGAACACCAGUGGCGAAGGCGACUUUCUGGUCUGUAACUGACGCUGAUGUGCGAAAGCGUGGGGAUCAAACAGGAUUAGAUACCCUGGUAGUCCACGCCGUAAACGAUGAGUGCUAAGUGUUAGGGGGUUUCCGCCCCUUAGUGCUGCAGCUAACGCAUUAAGCACUCCGCCUGGGGAGUACGACCGCAAGGUUGAAACUCAAAGGAAUUGACGGGGACCCGCACAAGCGGUGGAGCAUGUGGUUUAAUUCGAAGCAACGCGAAGAACCUUACCAAAUCUUGACAUCCUUUGACAACUCUAGAGAUAGAGCCUUCCCCUUCGGGGGACAAAGUGACAGGUGGUGCAUGGUUGUCGUCAGCUCGUGUCGUGAGAUGUUGGGUUAAGUCCCGCAACGAGCGCAACCCUUAAGCUUAGUUGCCAUCAUUAAGUUGGGCACUCUAAGUUGACUGCCGGUGACAAACCGGAGGAAGGUGGGGAUGACGUCAAAUCAUCAUGCCCCUUAUGAUUUGGGCUACACACGUGCUACAAUGGACAAUACAAAGGGCAGCGAAACCGCGAGGUCAAGCAAAUCCCAUAAAGUUGUUCUCAGUUCGGAUUGUAGUCUGCAACUCGACUACAUGAAGCUGGAAUCGCUAGUAAUCGUAGAUCAGCAUGCUACGGUGAAUACGUUCCCGGGUCUUGUACACACCGCCCGUCACACCACGAGAGUUUGUAACACCCGAAGCCGGUGGAGUAACCUUUUAGGAGCUAGCCGUCGAAGGUGGGACAAAUGAUUGGGGUGAAGUCGUAACAAGGUAGCCGUAUCGGAAGGUGCGGCUGGAUCACCUCCUUU